GAAGCCUAAGUUAAAUGUUCUUGUUAAGUGAAUACUUAACAAUGUAAAUGUUAUUUUACAGUAAGAUUUCAGAAUAUAUUUUGAGACCGUCAAAAUGAGUGGCUCUGGUACUCUCAGUUAAUAAAGUUUUCACAUUUCAUGAUUUCAUUUUUGAUAAAUGUAAAUGAAUGGGCCACAACAGCAUGAACUAAUAUAUACAGUUAACGUAAUGAUUUUGUACAUAAGCUGAUUCAGUACUUGUCAACUAUAUUCUUCUAUAUUCUUCCAACAUGGCAAGUAUGCUUUACUUAAAGAACUGCAAGAUUCAGUAAUAGAGCCUUCUUAACUGUUCUUCUAAAUAACAGGCUUUUUGCUCUAAUGGUAUUUUAUAGCACUCUCAUUUAAAAACAGAUCUUAUUCUGCUUCCAUUUACUUGGUCUUUCAUAUCUGAAAUAACUCCCUAAAUUCCAUGCUUUUGUAACUUUCACAUAACUCACCUCCUCCUGCAUCUUAAUACUUAGGACACAAUUAGUACCAAUCUUUUGCUGUUUCUUUUAUCUCCUUUCUGAUAUUGAGACUGAUAACAUGGUGGGAUUUUUUGUUUUCUUUUUUUUUUUUUGGUCUUGUUGCAGUUCUAUAUAGGUAUUGCUUCCACAGACCAGAAAAAGCACAACUCCUGGCCAAAUUCCUAAAGAUGUGUACUACCUCCAAAAAGGCCACUGAACAAACUGAAGUAUCAACUUCUCCAACCUACUAGAACUUCCAGUAAAAGCACAGACAUGAACAAGAAUUACCUUACUGACUCCAACUUCAGGAAUCUGAAGUGUGUGUCCAGCAUCUUUUUCUCUGAAAAGGCAAGUUGAUAUAUAAGUCACAACAAAGCAUAAAUAGGUAUUUAAAGUGGCUUAUGAAAGGUAUAUUUCAGUUGAACUGUAGUAUUGUAUUUCUCUUCUAAGCUAUUAGGAAUUUUUUACAGAUAGAAAAUAUUGUGUUGCUGUACACACAAUGUAGACUUGCUUCAGGUCCCUUCUGCCAUUUGUAUAAAUGAUAUAAAGCACAUGAUUAAUAAAUGAUCAAAGAGUACCAAUAAAUUCUGAUCUAUAAACCUGGUAUUUCUAUCUGAACUGUCAUUCAAUGCCUUUAACAGUCUGAACUCUGCAUCCUUCAGGCUCUUUAAUGCACCUUGGUGUCCAUGUUCCAUGGUGAAGCUGAACUCUUGGUUGCAUUAGGCAGGUAAUAAAAGUAAACAAAGAGUAAUCUGUACAGGCUGAAUUUUGGCUUGUUUGCAUUUUUUGUUACCAAAACAGUGCAGCAGUAGGAAGAAGGGAUUUGUGUAUUACAUUCUCAUACUAAGGGAUUAAGAAGCAAUGCAGCUAGUAAAAGACCUAUAUGAAAAUUCAAAACAGAGUUGUCUGUUGAUCUUCACAUACACGACUCAACCUUUUAGAGCAAAUCAAAACAUGUCUAUCAGCAUUAGACAGAAACAGCUUUUCCAGGGUAAGGUUUUCAAGUAAGCAUAGAAAAAAGCUUUACAUCAUCAUUAAAUUCAUCAUCCACAAUGAACAAACCAGCUUAACAACUAAGAAUGCAUACAGUGUAGUACAAACCAGCUAAUUAUCUAAAGCAAAUGAACAAACCCUACUGAAAUUUGAAGGUGUGAGGAAGUCUAGGAUAUGCUUCCUAGUGAUCCUGGAUUUCCGAAGGGCAUUCUUCCAUUUCUGGAAAAAAAGUACUUCAGUGGCAUGAGACAACAUUUACUUACUUUCUAGGAAACAAGUUUUCAAAGAAGGGCUUGCAGCUAUACUGACACAGGGGGGCUCAGUCACAACAUCAAGUUAUCACUAACAAUUCAGGUCUGCUAAGCUGCAUUAAGUGUGUAUGCUGUUACAUUAUCAUGACAACAUGUUGUUAUGUGACCUGACUUGAAUUUCUUAAUGUGGACUAACCAAACUCAGAGCACCUCACAACUGCUGCAGGCUAGGAUGACAAGCAUGAAGAGCCAAGCAAUCUUAAGUGCCUUCCACAGCUUUCAAAGACAGGUAGUUUGAGAUUAUAUAUAUAUAUAUAUAUAUAUAUAUAUA